rnacentral:rRNA from 1 species
AGUGAACGCUGGCGGUAGGCCUAACACAUGCAAGUCGAACGGCAGCACAGUAAGAGCUUGCUCUUACGGGUGGCGAGUGGCGGACGGGUGAGGAAUACAUCGGAAUCUACUUUUUCGUGGGGGAUAACGUAGGGAAACUUACGCUAAUACCGCAUACGACCUACGGGUGAAAGCAGGGGAUCUUCGGACCUUGCGCGAUUGAAGGAGCCGAUGUCGGAUUAGCUAGUUGGCGGGGUAAAGGCCCACCAAGGCGACGAUCCGUAGCUGGUCUGAGAGGAUGAUCAGCCACACUGGAACUGAGAAACGGUCCAGACUCCUACGGGAGGCAGCAGUGGGGAAUAUUGGACAAUGGGCGCAAGCCUGAUCCAGCCAUACCGCGUGGGUGCAGAAGGACUUCGGGUUGUAAAGCCCUUUUGUUGGGAAAGAAAAGCAGCAGGUUAAUCACCCGCUGUUAUGACGGUACCCAAAGAAUAAGCACCGGCUAACUUCGUG